rnacentral:rRNA from 1 species
CGUGUAGGCGGUUUCGUAUGUCUGGCGUGAAAGCCCCGGGCUCACCUCGGGAAGUGCGUCGGAAACUGCGAGACUAGAGUCCCGGAGAGGGAGGUGGAAUUCCAGGUGUAGCGGUGAAAUGCGUAGAUAUCUGGAAGAACACCGGUGGCGAAGGCGGCCUCCUGGACGGUGACUGACGCUGAGACGCGAAAGCGUGGGGAGCAAACAGGAUUAGAUACCCUGGUAGUCCACGCCAUAAACGAUGAGCACUAGGUGUCGCGGGUAUUGACCCCUGCGGUGCCGCCGCUAACGCAUUAAGUGCUCCGCCUGGGGACUACGGCCGCAAGGUUAAA